AUUGAACGCUGGCGGCAGGCCUAACACAUGCAAGUCGAGCGGAUGACGGGAGCUUGCUCCUUGAUUCAGCGGCGGACGGGUGAGUAAUGCCUAGGAAUCUGCCUGGUAGUGGGGGACAACGUUUCGAAAGGAACGCUAAUACCGCAUACGUCCUACGGGAGAAAGCAGGGGACCUUCGGGCCUUGCGCUAUCAGAUGAGCCUAGGUCGGAUUAGCUAGUAGGUGAGGUAAUGGCUCACCUAGGCGACGAUCCGUAACUGGUCUGAGAGGAUGAGCAGUCACACUGGAACUGGGACACGGUCCAGACUCUUACGGGAGGCAGCAGCGGGGAAUAUUGGACAAUGGGCGAAAGCCUGAUCCAGCCAUGCCGCGUGUGUGAAGAAGGUCUUCGGAUUGUAAAGCACUUUAAGUUGGGAGGAAGGGCAGUAAGUUAAUACCUUGCUGUUUUGACGUUACCGACAGAAUAAGCACCGGCUAACUCUGUGCCAGCCGCCGCGGUAAAAC
rnacentral:rRNA from 1 species